rnacentral:lncRNA from 1 species
CUUAAAGUCAGUCAAGUCAUCCGCAUUCGCAGAGAAAAGAUCCAGCCGGCUGCAAGGGCAGAGCAUCGUUUGUACUCGGAUUGCAUUGGAAGCACCCGAGCUCCCAUGGCAACCUCGGCUCCUGCUGGAGGGCUUUAUUCCAUGCGCCGCCGUGGAGAGCCCCGUGGCAUCCUUUGCUGUGCGCAUCCUUACCCUUCAGCUUGCAGCGGGGUUUGCCUGCAGCCGGCCGCCACCAGCAGGAGAGGUGCGUUAUCUCCAUCCAGCUGCACCGUGAGCUAAUUGCAAAUGCAAACAUGCAGAAUUUGCCAUAAAAUGAGUGAGCCACAUAGUGGCACCUACCUACCUCAUCACGGGCAUUU